rnacentral:rRNA from 1 species
UUCCAGCUCCAAUAGCGUAUAUUAAAGUUGUUGCGGUUAAAAAGCUCGUAGUUGAAUUUGUGUCCCGCACUGUCGGUUCACCGCCCGCGGUGUUAACUGGCAUGUUUGCGGGACGUCCUGCCGGUGGAUGUUCAGUGUUGAGACUCUCGGGUCUUGCACACAUCCGACUUAUAAAUCCUGUCGCGGUGCUCUUAACUGAGUGUCGAGGCGGGCCGGCACGUUUACUUUGAACAAAUUAGAGUGCUCAAAGCAGGCUAAUUAAUGCCUGAAUAAUUAGUGCAUGGAAUAAUGGAACAGGACCUUGGUUCUAUUUUGUUGGUUUUCGGAACCCCAAGGUAAUGAUUAAUAGGGACAGAUGG